GACGAACGCUGGCGGCGUGCUUAACACAUGCAAGUCGAACGGUGAAGCGCCUUCCUUUUUGGUGGGUGUGGAUGAGUGGCGAACGGGUGAGUAACACGUGAGUAACCUGCCCCCUUCUUCUGGAUAACCGCAUGAAAGUGUGGCUAAUACGGGAUAUUCUGGGUCUGUCGCAUGAUGGGUCUGGGAAAGAUAUUGUUUCGGUGUGGGAUGGGCUCGCGGCCUAUCAGCUUGUUGGUGUGGUGAUGGCCUACCAAGGCGGUGACGGGUAGCCGGCCUGAGAGGGUGGACGGUCACACUGGGACAGAGACACGGCCCAGACUCCUACGGGAGGCAGCAGUGGGGAAUAGUGCACAAUGGGCGCAAGCCUGAUGCAGCGACGCCGCGUGAGGGAUGGAGGCCUGCGGGUUGUGAACAUCUUUCGCCAGUGAAGCAGGCCUGCCUCGUUUGUGGGUGGGUUGACGGUAGCUGGAUAAGAAGCGCCGGCUAACUACGUG
rnacentral:rRNA from 1 species